UCUUUUUCCACCGGUAGCUUGCUCCACCGGAAAAAGAAGAGUGGCGAACGGGUGAGUAACACGUGGGUAACCUGCCCAUCAGAAGGGGAUAACACUUGGAAACAGGUGCUAAUACCGUAUAACAAUCGAAACCGCAUGGUUUUGAUUUGAAAGGCGCUUUCGGGUGUCGCUGAUGGAUGGACCCGCGGUGCAUUAGCUAGUUGGUGAGGUAACGGCUCACCAAGGCCACGAUGCAUAGCCGACCUGAGAGGGUGAUCGGCCACAUUGGGACUGAGACACGGCCCAAACUCCUACGGGAGGCAGCAGUAGGGAAUCUUCGGCAAUGGACGAAAGUCUGACCGAGCAACGCCGCGUGAGUGAAGAAGGUUUUCGGAUCGUAAAACUCUGUUGUUAGAGAAGAACAAGGAUGAGAGUAACUGUUCAUCCCUUGACGGUAUCUAACCAGAAAGCCACGGCUAACUACGUGCCAGCAGCCGCGGUAAUACGUAGGUGGCAAGCGUUGUCCGGAUUUAUUGGGCGUAAAGCGAGCGCAGGCGGUUUCUUAAGUCUGAUGUGAAAGCCCCCGGCUCAACCGGGGAGGGUCAUUGGAAACUGGGAGACUUGAGUGCAGAAGAGGAGAGUGGAAUUCCAUGUGUAGCGGUGAAAUGCGUAGAUAUAUGGAGGAACACCAGUGGCGAAGGCGGCUCUCUGGUCUGUAACUGACGCUGAGGCUCGAAAGCGUGGGGAGCAAACAGGAUUAGAUACCCUGGUAGUCCACGCCGUAAACGAUGAGUGCUAAGUGUUGGAGGGUUUCCGCCCUUCAGUGCUGCAGCUAACGCAUUAAGCACUCCGCCUGGGG
rnacentral:rRNA from 1 species